UUCUUCCUAACAUUUUCAACCCUAGAAAUUUCCCUCCCAACCCAAUCCAAAAAUUUGAGCUCCCCCCAAAAUUUUCUAAAAGCAAACAAAUCCACAACCCUAGCUCUCAUCCCACAAGUUUGCAAAAUCACCGUUUCAAUUUUCUAAUCAAAUCACCCCCAAAAUGGAUCACCAAAUACUACUCGCACCAAAAGCACAAUGACGGAUCUGAAACCGAACGUCCAACCAUCAUCUUCUCUAUCUUCACAUGAUGCUGUAGUUCAAUCGUUCUCCAUUUAAAAUCAAUUCCAGUAAAAGAAUAAUCGACGGUGUUGAAUAAUGGUUCUGAUUCGAAGGUUUCGACAUCAAUACGGCUUCGAGCGACCUGAGGCGCCACAUUCACUAUGAAAUAGUCACCUUCAAUCGUACACUUCUUCUUCUUCUUCUUCUUCGUCUUCUUCUUCUUCUAUAUUUCGAUCUUCCCAGCUAGUGAAGCUGGCAAAGAACUCUGUCAUGAAAAGACGCUGAAUUUUGAAGAUUUUAGGGAGCUGAAUUUGAAGCCAAAUUCGGGAAGCUUGUUGAACUCGGGUUCAGCAGAGAUGCAGUUAUACAAGCUCUAAAGCUUUUUGAUGGUAAUGUAGAACAAGCGGCUGGAUAUCUUCUGCUACAUUAGUAACAACAUGUGAAUCUACUAUUUUUGUUUUGGUUUUUUCUUGUGAUGCAUUUUUUAUUUAUUUGCCAACUAGUUUAUUAUGGGUACUAUUGAUUCUUGGUCUAUCCUACAGGUUGAUCCAAAAUUUGAUUUGGAUAUGAAUUAAGAUGAUGCGGAAGACGAGUGUUGCAACUAUAGACGGGUCAAGCAUAUAUAUGUUGACAAGUAUGUGUUCAAGCCCUUUAUCUCGGUCUACUAGGAUGAACAUCUGUUAGAUGUGCAAAUUACCAUAGCAUGGGGUCUACAAGUAGCAUGAAUAAAACACUUGGGAGGAUUAUACAACAAUAAAACCGGUCACAAGUUACAAGUUUACUCCUCACCACAACAGCGGUAAUGUGGCCAUGAAACCAUGGAUGCAAAUUUGCAGCACUUUUGGGUCUAAAACAGUGAGUAGAUGGACUUGAAGAAAACAAUCUGGAAAUAGUUUCUAGUUUAUAUGUAAAGUCAUUUUUCGGUGUAACAUUUGUAGAUAGGUUCUGAUUAGAAGUUAAUGUUUUUAAUUAGUAUUAGUAUUUAAAUUGAAAACUUAUGUAUGGAUUGGGUUAUUAUUGUUAAUAUCAUUUGGUUUUUAGUUUUC